GACCAGCCCUCCAGUGCUGGGAAUUCUGCUUCUUCUGAAACAGUCAGAGAGGCUGUUUAUAAUCAUAAGGGUUAUUAUAAUCAUAAGGAUCUCCAAGUUUGGAUAUCAGAUGCAGGAUAAAUUAUUAAAUUGUCCUUGUGAGCUAAAACUGUAGGGAAACCAGGCUGUAAAGCUACCAGAUCCAAUGGGUGAUAGGAAGCAGCUUUUUCUGUUCUUUCUUUUUUUUUACAAGCUGUAUGUACUGCUCCUGGCCUUUGAUCUCACUACAGAUUCUGACCCAUUUGAAAUGUUCAUUAUAUUGCAGCUCUAUGGCAGAGAUGGGAGCAGCAGCACCUGAACUCAGAUCCUUCUGUGCUUCACAAUUUGUGCACCCAUUCUGCAUUUCUCCAAGUGCAGAAAGUUGGCAACUUUUAUGGCUCUUCAUGUCCUGUAAAGUAAUAAAGUACAGCCAGGUGGAAAAUGUGACCAGAGAGGCAGAAUAUGUGGAAGCAGAGCGCAAGGUCUGCAGAGCAGAAGGGAUGGCAGCAGCCUUUCUGUCCCAGGGAUGUGAGGGUGAGUCAGCUCCAACACUUCUGGGUCUGGGCUGGGGCAAACUGCACACACUCUGUGUGCUGGGCUCUCUUAUUGAGGCAGAGAAAGCCAGGAGGAAAGUUUUGUGUUGAUAGAGAAACGCUCCACGGUAUUUGCCAAAUCUAACAGGAACAAGCGACUGAGAAACACUGAUAUAUUCAGUCAAAUUGAUGCUGCAAGCAGGAUGAAAGGGUCUAAAUGGAGACAGAAAUUUUCUGAGGGGUAAUACCAGGUGUGGGAAUGACCUCUAGGGUUUGUGCCUCCCUGCCACUGUCCUUUCUGGCAGUCCACUUAUCCCCUUCUCUCUUUUUGUUCCUGAAAUUGUGUGACCUCCUGUGCAUCCUCACGUGCUCUGACCAAGUCCUGUCCCCUCAUGUGCACAGUAAGCUCCUGCACUUCUUCUGACAAUGAGGGCAGUCUGAAUUGUUCAGUUUUAUUCCUGCUAGGGAUUUUUUUUGUCUGUAUGCUUCUUGGGAAGUCAAUGCUCAAAGGAGCAACCUGUCUAUCUCUGGCUUACAUGCAGUUCCAGCUGAACAGCACUAGGCUUCCAGCAGAAGGAUUGAAAGAACA
rnacentral:lncRNA from 1 species